CCCCAUCCUGUGGGUGUCCUUCAGUGGAAUGAUUCAUAGCUACAGAUGCCAUAACAAAAGCACAAGAAGUCCCCACAGAGAAGCAAAAGUCAAUAAACCCUUUCUUUGCAACUUCUCCAAAUUCCUAGGAUCCCAGCAGCAACAGAAACUAAGGAGUAGGGAUUUCAAUAGUUAAGUUCAGACUAGUGAGAAAAAGGGAAAACGUAUAUGAGAUCAAGUGUUUAAUGGAAUCCCCAGUUUAGCUGUGCUUCUGAGGCUUCUUUCUUUUUUCUUUUUUUUUUUUCCUCCUUUUUGACAAAAUAGUUUCCCCAUAUAUAUACUAGUCAAAC
rnacentral:misc_RNA from 1 species